GUCUGUGGCCAUGCUACCCUGAACAAGCCUGAUCCCGUGAUUAGCUAAGCAGGGUCGGGCCUUGUUAGUACUUGAAUGGGAGACCACCUAGGAAGACCAGGUGCUGUAGGAG
rnacentral:rRNA from 1 species